UUAUUUAACAAUUACUCAUACAGAGUUUCCUAUGUGGGAGCACCAUGCUAAAGGCUUCAGAAAUAUUCAAUCAUUUUUUUCUCACAAUAAUCAUAUGAUACAAUAUCCUCUUAUUAUUCCCACUUUACAAAGAAUAGGUGAAGUGACUUGCCAAAGGUCAAAGAGCUACUGAGUGGCAAAACUGGGAUUCAAUCCCAGGAAGUCUGUCUCCUGAGUGGGUCACCACACUAUUAUGUACAACACCUUGCACAGUAUAUGGACCAUUGUUGCUGUCACAGUUUAGUCACUAAGUCAUGUCCAACUCUUUGCAACCCCAUGGACUGUAGCCCACCAGGCUCCUCUGCCCAUGGAAUUUUUCAGGCAAGAAUACUGGAUUCGGUUGCCAUUUCCUUCUCCAAUAUGAUGCUGAAGAAGACUCCUGAGAGUCCCUUGGACGGCAAGAAGAUCAAACCAGUCAAUCCUAAAGGAAAUCAACCCUGAAUACACAUUGGAAGAACUGAUGUUGAAGCUAAACUCCAAUACUUUUGCCACCUGAUGCGAAGAGUCAACUCACUGGAAAAGACCCUGAUACUGGGAAAAAUUGAGAGCAAGAGGAGAAGGGGGUGACAGAGGAUGAGAUGGUUGGAUGGCAUCACUGACUCAAUGGACAUGAGUUUGAGCAAACUCUGGGAGACAGUGAAGGACAGGGAAGCCUGGCAUGCUGCAGUUCAUGGUGUCGCAAAGAGUCAGACACGAUUUAGCAACUGAACAACAGCAAGGCUGGAUUUUCUUUGGCCUAAGAAUGCAACCAAAGCAACAUCACACCAGUUCUGACUCCAUGUCGCACAAGACCCUGUGUGCUUCCACGCUGCCUGUCUUGGAACCCUGCUAGUCACCCUAUGAGUAACAUGUCUACCAGCUUGACUUGGCCUCUGAAACUCGACUCUUCCCUCUACAAUGAUGUAAUAAGGAAGUUCCUCCAUACCACAAACCCAAGUCCUGUCUUGUGCCUCCACUAUCACCAACCUGGGAAACACAGAGGAUUAUUUUUUUUUUUUUCUGUAAUCCAGCCAGAGAUGAGGGAGGAAACAGAAGAUGGAAAAGGUAUCUACUUCUUAACCACCUCAGCCAACAAGCUGUGUGUGCCAGAUUCCAUUAGUGAGAGAUAGUCACAUGUCCCCACUGAAGUGUAAGACGAAUUGGGAAUGCAGCCCUUCCAAGAAGCCACUGCCCAGUAAUUACUCCUCACUCUGAAAAGGGAAUGCAAAUCUUUGGUGAAGAGUCAAUCGCCACUACUGCCUUUACUGGCCACUACUGGCUUUAAGUUCUAUUAUAACUCCAGUUUUCAUGACUCUCAACUUUCAUAAAGGUUCAGCAUAAGAAAUAUCCACUUGCAUUUAACUGCAAAUUCUUCAAAUUUCUAGUCUGAACACGUUGAUCAUAGCUCUUAUAUUAGACCUUCAGGACUUACUGACUAAAUAACAAGAAGAAUAUACUCCUCUAAACUUUGUAUGCCCAGAAUAUAUAGUAACUGCCCAAGGAAUAUUUGUUGAAUAAAUGAAUACAUGUUAUCCA
rnacentral:lncRNA from 1 species